ensembl:snoRNA SNORD27 Small nucleolar RNA SNORD27
ACUUGAUGAUGAGCGUAAAUGACAAGCAUAUGACUGAAUUGUAGUGAUGUCAUCUUGCUACUGAAAAGU